rnacentral:misc_RNA from 1 species
AACGCACGAGACCUGCGGACCUGCGGAAGGAUCAUUAUGGGAUAUAUACAACCACAUAAGAUGUGUGUGGGGGGGGAAGAGAGAGAGAGGAGGAGAUUGCGUAGAACAAUAUAUAUGUUCUACACUUUUUCUUUCUUUCUACCUUUUUCCCUUUUUUACACAUCUUCAACCAAAUUAUCACAACUAGAAAGAAAGAAUAUGUGGGGAAAGAAUGUGGCUUGGCUUUUGGUGGCCAAGUGA